GGGCCCGCACAAGCGGUGGAGCAUGUGGUUUAAUUCGAUGAUACGCGAGGAACCUUACCAGGGCUUAAAUGUAAGUUGCAUAGAUCAGAGAUGGUCUUUUCUUCGGACUACUUACAAGGUGCUGCAUGGUUGUCGUCAGCUCGUGCCGUGAGGUGUCAGGUUAAGUCCUAUAACGAGCGCAACCCCUGUCGUUAGUUACCAGCAAGUAAUGUUGGGUACUCUAGCGAGACUGCCGGUGCAAACCGUGAGGAAGGUGGGGAUGACGUCAAAUCAUCACGGCCCUUACGUCCUGGGCUACACACGUGCUACAAUGGCGCAUACAGAGGGCAGCAAGCUAGCGAUAGUGAGCGAAUCCCAAAAAGUGCGUCGUAGUCCGGAUUAGAGUCUGCAACUCGACUCCAUGAAGUCGGAAUCGCUAGUAAUCG
rnacentral:rRNA from 1 species